AUAUCAAUAAGCGGAGGAAAAGAAACCAACAGGGAUUGCCUCAGUAACGGCGAGUGAAGCGGCAACAGCCCAGAUUUGAAAUCUGGCCCUCGGGCCCGACUUGUAAUCUGCAGAUGAGUCUUUUGGCGAAGCGCCGUCCAAGUUCCCUGGAACGGGACGCCGGAGAGGGUGAGAGCCCCGUACCGACGUGCGUCUAGCCUUUGCAAAGCUCAUUCGAAGAGUCGAGUAGUUUGGAAAUGCUGCUCUAAUUGUGGGGUAAAUCUCCCAUAAGGCUAAAUACUGGCCAGAGACCGAUAGCGCACAAGUA
rnacentral:rRNA from 1 species